GCUGGUCACCGGUGGUGGUCUACUGUCACAGGACAGUGCACUUCUACUGUUGGCCAGA
rnacentral:ncRNA from 1 species